UAAAAGUCAGGGUUGGACAUUGCACUUCAAAGGAAGAGGAUUCACCUACUUGCAUUGCUCUGCUGCAUAGAGAAUAGGAAAGGACAUGAAAUACUAACCAGGCUUUCCUAAGCUAGACCAUCUGUAUUUUCCAGUCUUUUUGGCUGAGUGAUGAGAAGCGACAGUCAGCAAGUCUCUGCUGCAAAUUCAGCCUGGCCAGCCAGCAGAGUGAAUGGCAUGGGAAGGCAUCCAGCUCGGUGCAUCUGAAGUAGGCUGGGACCAUCCCCUGGUAGCAGAGCUUGUUCUCAUCAGUUCAGAAGACCUCAAGAAAGACCUGGUGGAAUACAGAUAUCUCUGGUGCUUUCCAUAAGGCAGAGUUCUGUCGUUUGGAUGUCCAGGAUGUCUGGCGCAUUGCAUACUCUCAGUCCCUGAAUUUCAGAUAUUUCACCCGUUAGCAAAAACACGACUGACGUCACUCAAA